AGAGUUUGAUCAUGGCUCAGGAUGAACGCUAGCGGUAUGCUUAACACAUGCAAGUCGUACGAAAAAGAAAUUUUUAGUGGCGAACGGGUGAGUAACGCGUGAGAAUUUGCCUUUAGGAAGAGGAUAACAAUUAGAAAUAGUUGCUAAAACUCUAUAUGCCAAACGGUGAAAAAAGAAAUUUGCCUAAAGAGAAGCUCGCGUCUGAUUAGCUAGUUGGUAGGGUAAAGGCCUACCAAGGCGACGAUCAGUAGCUGGUCUGAGAGGACGAUCAGCCACACUGGAACUGAGAGACGGUCCAGACUCCUACGGGAGGCAGCAGUGAGGAAUUUUCUGCAAUGGGCGAAAGCCUGACAGAGCAAUACCGCGUGAGGGAUGAAAGCCUAUGGGUUGUAAACCUCUUUUCUCAAGGAGGAAGAUAUGACGUUACUUGAGGAAUAAGCAUCGGCUAACCCUGUGCCAGCAGCCGCGGUAAUACAGGGGAUGCAAGUGUUAUCCGGAUUUAUUGGGCGUAAAGCGUCUGCAGGUUGAUAUUUAAGUCUUUUGUUAAACCUUCGGGCUUAACCUGAAUUCUGCAAAAGAAACUAUUUAUCUUGAGUAUGGUAGAGGUAAAGGGAAUUUCCAGUGGAGCGGUGAAAUGCGUAGAGAUUGGAAAGAACACCAACAGCGAAGGCACUUUACUGGGCCAGUACUGACACUCAGAGACGAAAGCUAGGGGAGCAAACGGGAUUA
rnacentral:rRNA from 1 species